AUUCAAAGUUGUUUCUCCUUCAAGUACAAUAAGAAUUUCCCACAACUAAAUCAAAGGAUGGAAAAUUGAAUUCUAAGUUAAGAGAGUUAAAAACAAGUGAACUCCCCUUUACUAAGUUACAAGAUGUCAAAAGCUGCUUUCGAAGUUGUGAAUGAAACCCUAAAAGAUGCUAUUUAUACUAAAGCCUAAUUAAGGAAAUAAAAUAACAAAAUCGACGCCCAAGCUGACGCCGCAUCAAGAGUCUGACACCCUAUCACGGAUGGCAUCAGAAUGCUUCAGUUGCCUUCAAAAUUUGUCUUAGGCUGACGAUAUAGCUGACGCCGCAUCACCAAUCUGACAGCGUAUCACCAACGUCAUCAGAACAUCUUCAAACUCAAUUCUUUGGUUUAAGCUGACGCACUUCAUGACGCCUUAUCACCAACUUGAUGCCUUAUCACCAACGUCGUCAGGACUUCUUCUUAGGCUUCAAGUUUUUGGUUAAGGUUGAUGCCAAUGCUAAUAAACUAUCACAAGGCUGACGACGUAUCGCGGAGGUUGUCAGCCAUGAUUUCUUCUCUUUUGCUCAGAUUUUCAACUCUUUUGCUCCAUUGUCGUUUAUUUUUAUUACUUCAACCUUUUACUGUAAUAUUAUGAGCAAACACAUCAAAACAACAAGAGUUACUCUAGAAUUCACAAUUAUUCUGAGCUAAAAAGCAUUAAAUGUGUUAGCUUUUGCUCACACAUCACCUACAAUCUAUAAAUCUUGUUACAACAUUAGCCUAUCACUAUAAAAUAGCAACCCGUCCCUCAAUCAAAGGUUGUACAAAUAAAACUAGCUACUUUAUGCAAAAAAUCACCCUCACUCUAACUUCUAGACUUGUUACUUCAUAUCACUAACUUCUAUAUCAUCUUACUGCCAGUGGGUCAUGACACAUUAAUAGAUACUACUACUCGGGUAGAAAUACUCUUCCUACAUUCUUUCACAUAGCUCUGUCCUUAAGCAUGACAUCUGCAAUAAGAAUUCUGAAAGGAAUUGAAUACACUUCGUACCUCAGGCUGAAAAGAAUGAUUGCAUUAAGACAGAGGUAUACACUCGAAUCAACAUAUUUUGAAACACUAACGGACUCAAUCAGAAAGGACCACAUCAUUGGGAAUCUAAAAUCUUAAACUAGUAUUGGCUCGACAAUGAGGUAUGGCCCAUAAGAUUAGACCAAGAAAGGAAUUUGGAUAAUUUAUAUGUACGAUGCUAUAUCAUAAACUAGAGUAAGAAAGAAUGAGAAACAACUCCUAAAUGCCCAGUAGCAUCCUGAUUAUAAGCGUGGUGCACAACACACCCAUAAGAAAGACUCUACUAGACACGGCUUCAUAGACGUCCUCGGACCAUGAACCUAGCUUUGAUACCAAGCUUGUGACGACCCGAACUGAGGCCUUGACCACGACGAGCAUCCCGAACCAUGAAGGCCUGAGAGACCCCUUAGCAUGUAAUCAUAAGCAGAACUUAUAUGAUAAAAAUAUGUGAAAGAUAAACUAAAAAUUCAAGGAAAAUUUAUAAUACAAACUGUGUCAAUAAAAUAUGAAAAUACAAUACUCAACUUCCAUCUACGAAGCCUUUUACUGCCCACUAGCUGCCGACGGAAUCCCAGCGCCGCCAUCCAUCACUGCUCCAGCUUCCUCCAUUAAGCCGCCGCUAGCCGUCGCUGCUCCAGCUGGCAGCCAUCUCCACCAAUGUCGGUAGCCAUCUCCACCAACGCCGGCAGCACCACCAGCCGGUAAAACUACCAUUCACCAGCCAGCCGACAGCCUCCAUUUAGAGGUAAACUCCGUUAACUUCGUUAAGAUUAACAUACAAACUGUCGAGAUAUCGAGCUAGUGCUAGUGCGGGGAGGGGGGCAAUGUAGUUGUUCUACUAUGUUGUGUUUGGUGCUAUGGUUGUUGUGGUAGCAGUUUUUGAGCUGGGUGGCAAGACUAACAAAGAUCGGACAACAACUUCACAGGCUUUUAAUUCCUUUAAGAACAAUUACAUUCUUGUUUACUCUCUUAUGAUGGGUACGUAUGUUUCUCCUAUUAGAUCUGGGUCUUUUUACAUUUUGAAAUUCUGGUAUGUAUGUGCUCGAUAUGAUUAUUUGAGUGUGGAAUUUUGGAUCUGAUUAAUUGGACAUUAUAAGUUUGUUCUGCAUUAGUUGUCAGGUUGUGGUAUAAAUGAAAUCUAGCUUCGAAUCCUAACUCAUUUUAUGUUAUCUGGAUGUUGAAAAAGCUUCCAAGUGUUGAUAUGCAGCUCAAUUUGCUUAAUGGUCUUUAGAUCUAUUUGUACAUCACUGUGUGAAAAUACACUGGGUUUGUUGUUGUUGUUUUUGUUGUUGUAUUUCAUUAAGAGUUCUCCAAUACUAUCUGUAUUCCUUGUGCUGUAUCUUUCUAAAUUAUGGCAUCAAGACCAAAAUUUAGUUUCUUUACUUUUCUAAAAGAAAAGGUUGAUCUUGCUUAAAGGUUUUAGAAUAUCUAUACCUUGAGUAUACAUAAACUUGUACAAUGUGCUCAAAGUUCAGUCAUAUUGUAGACAUGUAGUAACUUGAAAAUGGAGUUGUGUAUCUUUUAAUUUGCUAAGCUCAUUAUUUUCGAAGAUGAUGUUGUUGGUUAUUUUUGUUUAGAAGGUGAUAUUGUUGGUUACUUUAUUUGUUGAAAAUGCUUAAGUGCCGAUGACUUUAAUAGUGAAUUAGUGUUUAGAAGGUGAUGUUGUUGGUGACUUUAUUUGUUGAAAAUGCUUAAGUGCCGAUGACUUUAAUAGUGAACUUUUGUUUAGAAGGUGAUGUUGUUGGUUACUUUAUUUGUUGAAAAUGGUUAAGUGCCGGUGACUUUAAAAGUGAACUUUUGUUUAGAAGGUGAUGUUGUUGGUUACUUUAUUUGUUGAAAAUGCUUAAGUGCUGGUGACUUUAAUAGUGAAUUAGUGUUUAGAAGGCGAUGUUGUUGGUGACUUUAUUUGUUAAAAAUGCUUAAGUUUUGGUGACUUUAAUAGUGAAUUAGUGUUUAGGAGGUGAUGUUGUUGGUGACUUUAUUUGUUGAAAAUGCUUUAGUGCCGGUGACUUUAUUUGUUGGUGACUGCUGUAUAUUAUUGUUGUGGUUGCAUGCAGUAUUUGGAUUUUCAAUUUUUCUUUUUAAAUUUCCAGAAAUAUAUUUUAUUUUAUUUGCAAAAAACCGACCACAAGUGGUCAGUUUUUCUAAUUUUUUUUUUUGUAAAAAACCGAUCACAAGUGGUCGGUUUUUUCUAUAUUUUUUUUGCAAAAAACCGACCACUCUUAUAAAAUUAAUUUAUUAGUUUAACUGAAAACCUACCACAUGUGGUCAUUUUUUAUUAAAUUAAUAAAAUUAAUUUUAUAAAAAAUCGACCACACGUGGUCGGUUUAUUUUUUCUAAAAUUAUUUUUUCAUUUAAAUAAAAUAAUAAUAAAUUUAAAAAUAAUUAAAUAUAUAUAUAUAUUUAAAAAAACCGACCACUCGUGGUGGAUUUUUAAAAAGCUACCGCUACUUUUCCGACUAAAAAUUUUGGUCGAUUUUGUGGUCGGAAAAUGGGGAAAACCGACCACUUGUAGUCGAUUUUUGUGGUCGAUUUUCCUUUUUUUUUUAGUAGUAAGUUCAUAUAUGUACACUAGAACCAAGCAUAGCUUAAGCUAACAACAUUCUAAAAUUCUCUGUGAUCAUAUUCAUAUCUUGUUUCACUUGCACCAUAGACACCCUAAAUAUGUACUUUAACACAAAGGUGCUCACUAUUAACAACUCAUUAAGAACACAAAGAAGUCCUCAAAACUAGGAUAAAAGUGCAUAGAUAAUGACUUAGGAGUAUAAAUACAUCUAUGAUCAGCAAGGAAUAAGAGGAAAAUGCCAAUCCGGCAAAGGCGUGGUCUUACUCACGAUUUACAGAAAAAAGAUAACGGUCGUCAGUUAUGUAUAAGCUAACGCGUGAAUGAAGCUACGACUUGAAAGGCGCAAGCCUUACCACGCAUUAGUGCAUAACCAAUUAGGAUAAAUUUGACAGGAUACAGAAACUUGAAUGUCACAGCAAAAAUGCUUUACCUUAAAAUAAAUACUCCAUGGUUAUCCACUUCCAUUUUCUUUUUAAGUUAGAAACAAAAAGGAGAAGAGGAGCAUUUUAACAAUCACGUAUUUUACAAAUAAUUGUAGCAAUUAAUUUGAAUAUCAGAUACACUCACCGUAGCUUUACUUUUAAUUACCUCUCUCCUUAUUAAUUCCACAACUUCCGAAUAGUUGUUUGUGGAAAUGUCAAGGGACCUCACUGAUUUUCAAUGAUAUGCAUGAAGUUUGACAGCAUUUUCUUGAAUUUCUUCCCGAGCAUAGGAAUGAGAUGAAAUACUCUAAACUGAAAGAAGAUUUUAUCAAAAAUAAUGAGAAUGAUAAAUGAACAAAGUUGUGUAGGAAAAGCAGUAUGUGGUACUUUGUUUAUUUAUCAUUAUUUUUUAUGACAUCUUCUUUCAGUUUAGAAUAUUUGACCUCGUUCCUAAGCACUCGGAGAAAAGUUCUUUAAGAAAAUGUUGUCAAACUUCAUGCAUAUUAUCCAAAAGCAGUGAGGUCCCUUGGCAUUUCCACAAAACAACUAUUCGUAAGUUGUGGAAUUAAAAUGGAGAGGGCAAUUAAAAGUAAAGCUAUGGUGGGUGUAUCUGAUAUUCAAAUUAAUUGCUACAAUUAUUUGUAAAAUACAAGAUUUUUUUUAAUUCUACACUUCUCCUUUUUGUUUCCAACUUAAAACGAAAUGGAAGCUGAUAUACAUGGAGUAUUUAUUUUCUGGUAGAGCAUCUUUGUUGUGACUUUCAAGUUCUGUAUUCUGUCAAACCUAUCCUCUUUUGUUAGCACUAAGGCAUGGGACUGCUUGUGCCUUGCAAGGCAUGGCUUCCUUCACGCUUUAGCUUUAUACAUAACUUUCAUUUGCUAGGCGUGAGGAAGGCCACGCCUUUGAGUGUUUGAAAUUUUCCCAUUCUUCCUUAACCUUUUUGAACUUUAAAUGAAAAAAAUUGUUCGUCCGGCUACCGAUUUCUCUAAAAGGCAGUAAGAUAAGGUCUAGCACUCCUUACUUGUACUUUUUCACAUUGAGGAUUUUAUUAUUAAUAAAAGACCGCUUGACAUUCAGUAUAGUGGUAUUUAAUUAAAAAAAAUUCUAAAAAAGGCAUCCGCUUAAUUUCUCAUAUUUGUUCCUUUAAUUUUAUACACAUAAUAACAAAGCACCAAGGCAAAAAAAAAAAAAAAAAAAAAAGGAAAAAAAAAAAAAAAAAAAAAAAAAAGAGGAAAUACAAACAUCAAAAGAAUUCAAUCAAUAUGGUAAAAGAAUUUUUAUGUAUCAAAUCAAUCAAAAACUUCAUAGAUUAUAGUAUUUUAUAUUUAUGAUGAAAUAUGUAUCUAUGGUUGUAUCAUGUGUUUGUGCGCGCGCCCAAAACUAGGAAUUAAGGUCUUGGUUAGGAUAGAGCAAAUUCUAGAUUGAGAAAGAAACUUCUUGUUUUUAGUCCCUGAAAUAUUGAUAAGUUUUUGUUUUGGUUCGUGUAAUAUCUAUCUAUUUAUAUCUAUAUCUAUAUCUAUAUCUAUAUAUUAUAAAUAGUAAGAAAGUCUUGCAUAGAUAGAUGUCAAGUGGCUAAAUAGGAUAAUGCCAUGUGGUACCUUUUAGGACAAAUUAGUUAGACUAGGUAAAAUUAAUUAUUUUUUUUUUAAUGUAAAUUAAAAGUAAUAAAUAUUUUCUAUUUCAAAUAAAAAAAAUUGGGAAGUUACAACAUAAGAAAAAACAUGCACAUAUUAUUUAAUAUAUUUAUAAAGAACAUUUUAAAUUAUUAGAAGUUAACAGAUUUUUAUAUCUACUAUUAAACAUUAAAAUAUUUUUUAUUGAAUUAACAUAUUUGAAUUUAAUUUAUAUCUUAACGUAUUUAAGAGACUUAUAUCUUCAUAUUUAAUUUAUAUCUUAAAUUUUUGUAAUCCUAUAAUUUUUCACUUUGAACUGCGUUAAGAAAAGGUAAAAAGGAAGGGGUAGUGUGUUUUUUCUUUUUCUGUUUGCAAUAUUAAUAAAUCAAAUAUAUUUUAUUUUAAAAAAUAAAGAAAAUACAAAAAAAAAAGAUAAAACCUAACAAAACCCCCUAAUGCACGCCACAAUUCCCGUCCCCAUUUUUCGGGCACGUAUCCCACGCAACCACUUAAUAUUUUUUAUUUUUAAUUUUUAAAAGUAAAAAGAUAAAACAAUUAAUAGAUCAAAAUUAAAUUUAACUAAUCUAAAUAUUAUUAUCAAACAAAAUAUAAAUAUCCCACAUUCAUAAUUUUCAAUGAACAAGAAGUGGCUACAAAUUAGUAUUUGAAAUUUGAAAUGAGUAGUUGUUAUGUGUAAAAUAACUAUUUAAAUUUAUUCAUUUACUAAUGAUUUAAAAAAAUAUAUAAAAAAAAAAUAUUAAAAAAAAUAAAAAAUUGAUAACUCUUAACUUAAACACUAACAGUCCAUACAUCCUAAUCCCCACAACCUCAAUUCACUAGCACUUAUUUUUGUUCUCCAAUUUUCCUGCACACUAAAAAUACUAUACAUAAUUCAAAUAAAUGUAUUAUCAUGUUGAUAUUUGAUAAAAGUAAAGUAUGUGCAUUAUCUUUUGCAUUCUUAUUUUAAUUUGAAGUUGAAAAGAAGCACUUUAACAAUUAAAUGAACGAAAAAAUGAUCGAUGUAACUGAUGAUAUACCACAACACCCUAUUAAUUCUAUAUCAAUAUGGUAUAGUCAUUUAAAUUUCAAAUUGGUGUCCUAUUAUUUUGUAUUGUCUCUUCAAAGGAUAAUUUAUUUAUACUUUUAGAAAAAUGAAUUUCCAUCACAAAUACAGAUUUAAAAAAUUUAAAACUAAAUUUUAAUAAGCGAGACUCUUUUUUUUUUUUUUUACCUUUGUUUUGGAUAACUAUUUCUACUUUUUUUAUUUUUAUAAAUUCUUAAAAAAAAAAAAAAAUAAAAUAACUAUCAUUGUGAUUUUAAAUUUUAAAUCAAUUAAAUUUUAAAUUCAAAUUCAAAACUAGAAAUGUAAUGUUUAUGAAAGCAAUUCAAAUUAUAUAUCACUUUCUAUAACAUAAAUUCAUUUUGAAAUUAAAAUGUUUAGAUAAAUUUAUUUGUCCGUUUGAAAUUGAACUAAGAGAUAAACAUUUUUUUAAAAACAAAAUUAAUUAAAUAAAAUAAAUUGAUAUUUGAUUUAUAAAAACAUUGAAAUAAGAACUUCUAAAAAAUUGAAAUGCCUACAUUUGAAAUUCAAGUGUUUUUUUUUUUUAAAAAAAAAAAGGUAACUAAACUGCCCCAUUACUCCACUAACUCCACUUCAAGCACCCCUCCCACCUCCCCACGUCUCUUUAUUUGUCAAUUUACUUUCACACACUUGCAUUGAAAAAUUUCAAUAUAAACUUAUAACAUAAAUUUCGCCGAAAAUUUUCAACACAAAUUAUUUUGAAACAUAAAAUUCAAAAGAAAAAAUUGUCAUUUCAAAUUUCGAAUUUUAAAAUCUAAAAUUUGUACAUAAAUGCAGUCAUAAUUAAAUCGUUUAAUUUAUCAUAUUUUUCUUCUUGAACAUCAAUCAAUAAUUCAUUUUCUAAAAAGGAAUCUCUUUGCAAACUUCAUUUGACAAAGUACUCUUAUGAAGAAUUAUUUGACAAAUAAAUCUCUAUUCUUCAUUUGAUAUAAUUAUUUGAGUUUUUGGGAAGAAUCAGUGGCAAAGUACUCUUAGGAAGGAAUAUUGAUAUAUUAUUCCUUUUUACAUUUUUUUUUCAUAAUCAUCUCGAUCUUUUUUACUGUCUCUAUUAUUUGUACUCAUAUCUAUAUUUACUUUUCUCAUUUAGUGCCUUCAGUUCAUUGCGGGAGUCAAUAUUCAUAAAAUACAACUACUAUCUUAUUUGGAAUAAUAUGAGAACUCUAAUUCUUAUUGACUUAUUAUUUUGAUUAGGUAAAAUGACCUUCUGGACCCUUGUACUAUAUCGGUUUAGUAAGUUGGACACUUCUACUUACAUGUUUGUCAUCUAGACCCCUAAACCCACUAAAAAACUAUUUUUAAAUUCUUUGAACGUUGACUUUGUCUACGUGGCAUUAAAUGGCUGACUAGGAUAAGGAAAGUGUAGUCACUCGCCUGGGGUAUGAGUGGGGGUCAAUUUUGACCUAUUUUAUAUUAAAAUAAUUUUAAAAAAAUUAAAAAUAAUAUUAAAACUAAAAAAAUAAUUAAAAAGAUCUUUUUUUCCUCCAUAUUUUUUAACUUAAAAAUAUUUUUAAAAAUAAUAAAUUUAAAAAAAAAAAAAAAAAAAAACCCUCCCCCAACACCCCCCCCCUCCCACNNNNNNNNNNNNNNNNNNNNNNNNNNNNNNNNNNNNNNNNNNNNNNNNNNNNNNNNNNNNNNNUCUUCCCUAAGCCCUUCGCCUCCAUCCCAACCCCCAACCCUUCUCCCCCGCCGCCCCACCAGUUCCCAAGCAAAGAAACCUCCAUUCACAAAGACACCGAUUCACAAAAUUUAUUCAAAUCAAGAAUUUUCUACAUUCUUGAAUUAUCCAAAUCACAAAAAUUUCAAAAAAAAAAAAGCGCAAAAAUUGUAUUUUUAUAUUGAAUUUCAAGUUUCUCGAAUUACCCAAAUACAAAAAAUUCAAAGAAAGCAUUAAAAUUGAGUCUUGACAUUGAAUUUCAGGUUUCUUAAAUUACCCAAAUCACAAAAAUCUCUAAAAAUUUCUUCUUUUCAUACUUCUUAAAUUUUUUGGCCCUCACUUUUCAAUUUUUCCGUAGAGCAAGAAGAAUAGGAAGAUGAAGAUGACAAAAGCAAAAGAAGAAUGAGAAGACAAGGAAGAAGAUUAAGAAAAAGAAAGAAGAAGAAGAAAUAGAGAGAAAGAACCAGAAAAGGAAAGAAAAAGGGGAAAAGAGAUAAAAAGGGGUAGGGGUUGUUUUAUUUGUUUAUUUAUUUAUUUAUUUAUUACAUAUAAAAAUGACGUGGCAGAUAACGUGGCACACGUGACAGUUGAUAUGGCAGCUGGCGUGGGAGAGUGUAUUACACUCACCAAAAAAGUAUUUAAAAUAUUACUUUUUAGUGGGUUCAGGGGUCCAGAUAACAAACAUGUAAGUAGAAGUAUCCAACUUACAAAACCGAUAUAAUACAAGGGUCCAGAAGAUCAUUUUACCUUUUGAUUAUUAUAUAGGACUAUUUGGAUUUGGUGUUGCUUAUAAAUAUAUUUUAGCUUUACUUUAGCCUAUUAAUGUCCUCGAUAUUUUGGAUUUAUUCACUGAUGUAUUUACAGUAGAAAGUGUUAAUGUAUAUUAGUUUCUAUCAUCUAUAAAGAUUAAAAAGAUUUAUUACUUUAUAUCUUAAUAUUAAAACUAUAUAAUUAUUAGGUGAAGUUUUAGAUUGUUAAUUUUAGCAUGAUUUGGGGAUUGAGGGUCUAUUCACAGAGAGAGUCCUGCAUAAACUUUUGUGCAAUAAAAUUUAUAGUUUGAGAUUAAGUGUAAUAAAAUUUAUAGCUUUCUUUAUUUUAUAAUUCGUAAUAUGUUGAAAAACUUAAACCUAAUAUUAGAUAGAGAAAUACUAUUUUACAUAUUUCAUUCAAAUAAUUAAUUAAGAUCCUUUUUGAGUUGUGUUAAAGUUCUCUUUUACAAUUUUUCCUUAUAUUUGUUGGAUGACAUUUUUUUUUCUUAUAGUUUUCUUUGUUCUAUAAUCCAACUUCUUUUUUAGAAUUAAUCAAAGAUCACCCGAUAAUUUUGAACUUUUCAAAGGAGGUUACGGUCAUAAAAAAAUCAGAGAAGAUAAUAAAUAUACUAUUACAAACACAAAAAUAAUUACUGUUAUGGAAGAAAAAUUGAAAAGUAUUCUAUUUUAAAUCAUCUCAAUUAUAAAUGAGAAUAGUAAGGAAAUUAAAGUGAGCUAACAAUACAAGGUGGAAUAACAAUUUUUGAUAAUUUGUUUUUGGUAGAUAAAUUUUAUUAAUAGUCAAAGAGAAAUAUUAUAAUUUUUGGUAAUAUUAAUAACAAUAUUAGAAAAUUAGGUGAGGUUAUUCUUAGAAUUCUAAUUAAAAGGUAAAAAAUAAAAAUUACGUAUGAUUUUAUUAGGAAUCUGAUCUGAAAUAUUAUUUUAAAUUUGAAUUAAAAGAUAACAUUAUGUUUCCACUUCUUAACAGAUUAAAAAAUUAAAUACAUAACUCAACUAAUUAACAAUUAUUUAUUAACAUCAUAAUUUAUUUAAAAUAUGUCAAUAGCAUAUAACGAGGAUAUUUCAUUUUCAUAUCUAAACGUUUAAAGUUAUUGCAACUGCGAUAUGAUCCUAAAGGGUUGUUUGGUAGAAGAAAUAAGAAGAAUAAUUUUGGGAUUAACUUUAUCCCAUAUUUGGUAUAAGAUAUUUCUUAAUUCUAGAAUAAUUUUGUCCCACCAUUUAUACUAAAAUGGUGAUAUUACUAUCCAAUAGGGAGAAGAAAUAAAAUAAUCCCAUGGGAUAUCCCACCUCAUCGGAUAUACUUAGUUACCCCAUCCAUAUACCAAACGAUCCGUAAGUGUUUAUUAAACUUUUAAUAUUAUAUUAAAGUAUAUAUCAUUGAUGAUGUUGAAUUUAAUAAUAUUGAUAGUCAUAUUUCUUACUUCACAAAUUUAUUGAUUUUACAUACAUCAAUUUGAUGAAAAAAAUUAUAUCAAAUAAAUAAAAUUAAAAAAUAUGAUUAAUUUUCUUUAAUAUCGUCCGCGCAUCGCGUGGGAAGGUAUACUAAGGGCAAGCCUAUGGUUCAUUAUGUGUAACUUGUGAAUUAUUUCUAAGAGUGAGCGUAAAUUGAUUCUAAUACCCAUUCUUGUAAUAAUUGCAUCUUUAUGAGUGAGUAUGGGUACCUCUAUUGUGAUGAGGGCACAUGUUAUGAUAGUUGGGUAAUUUGUAUGAUCUCAUUGAUUGUGUAAUAUGCAUGAGUUUGCCAACUUGGUGAGUCAGUUCUUGAGGUUAUGAUGUUUUGAAGUAGCGGUCUUGAGCUUUCAUUUGUGUAUAACAUUCUUAAGAUAAAAACUUGCUAUAUGUGUAGUCAUUAUAGUAUUAUUUUGAAUGUCUUGCCUGUAAUAAAAGUGUGGAGUCUUCUCUAAUUAGUGUGUGUAAUGAAUUACUAAAGGUAUAACUGUGCAAUUAUGUGUGGAAUAACUUGUUUAUAGUUUUUAAGGUUCAAUCAAGCUAAGAGACAAAGUAAUAAGUUAAUAUUUUUGGCUACUGAUUUAAUCUUAAUAACUGAACUAAAACUCUUGGUUACAUUUGCACUAAUUGAAUCUUAAUAGCUGAACUGAAAUUGGAUAGUUGCUUAACACUAGUCCCUUUUAGAUCGAUAUUUGACUUUCUUAAGGCCACUAUAUUACUUGAGUGGACCACGUACACUUGCGUGUGCGUUUGGGCGCAACAGUAUUAAUCAACAUCUAAAUUUAAAUAGCUUUUUUAAAACAACAAGAAAAUUUGAGAUGUGAUUACAAUUGAGAAAUAUCAAUAUGAUAUUCACAAAAAGAGUCAUAGACAUGAUUGAGCAAAUAAAAUUGCAAGGUCAAAUAUAUAGAAAGAAUAUUAUAUCUAUCAUAUGGUGACAAUUAAUUGCGUACAUUAAAAUUUAUUUCAUUUUACAUCACAUCUAUCUAGCUAAAUUUAAUUGUUUAAUUUUGCAAGUCUAUACGGUUCAUGAGAUUUUGCUUUUGACAAUCAAGUCAUUUGUGUAUGCUAACUAUACAUGUAUCAAAUUAAGCUUGUACUUUCUCUCUUUAAAUUUACAAUUAUUCAUUAUUUGCAUGUUUUAAUAUUAUCGUCAUUUUAAAAUAUCUAUACCAUAAAAGUUGGAACACAUAUAAAUCAUGUGUCUAGAAACUAGUAACUAAAGAAAAAGAGGUGAAUGCUUAUUCUAUUCGAUUUUCUACAAAUUUAUUUUUUAAAAGUAAUAUUAGAUCUUCAAUAAACUUAUGAAUAGAGAAGCAAAUCUUCAAUUAAUUUAAGAAAAACAAAGAAAUAAAUCAUAACAAAGUGAAUAGGUCAAGAUUAAUGCGAGGAAUGUAACGGAAGGAUUCAUACCUUUGCAAGCUGAACAAAAAGCAUCAGCUCCUCCGACAAUGAAGAGGAUUUAUCACCCACAACAGAAGAAGACAGAGACCAGAGUUUAGAAGAGAAAAUGAACACAUCCUUAAUGAUGGGGAGAAAGAGAUGGUUAAGAGGAGAGGACAGAGGAGCGCAUUAAGAGACCCUAUCUUUUAG
rnacentral:lncRNA from 1 species